UACGGAGGGUGCGAGCGUUAAUCGGAAUUACUGGGCGUAAAGGGUACGCGGGUGGUUUGUCAAGAUAUCUGUGAAAUCCCCGGGCUUAACCUGGGGAGGUCAGAUAAGACUGUCAGACUCGAGUACGGGAGAGGGUAGUGGAAUUUCCGGUGUAGCGGUGAAAUGCGUAGAGAUCGGAAGGAACACCGGUGGCGAAGGCGGCUACCUGGCCUGAUACUGACACUGAGGCACGAAAGCCAGGGGAGCAAACGGG
rnacentral:rRNA from 1 species